rnacentral:rRNA from 1 species
GUGUGACUGCGUACCUUUUGUAUAAUGGGUCAGCGACUUAUAUUCAGUGGCAAGGUUAACCAUCUAGGGGAGCCGUAGGGAAACCGAGUCUUAACUGGGCGUUCAGUCUCUGGAUAUAGACCCGAAACCAGGUGAUCUAGCCAUGGGCAGGUUGAAGGUUGAGUAACAUCAACUGGAGGACCGAACCGACUAAUGUUGAAAAAUUAGCGGAUGACUUGUGGCUAGGGGUGAAAGGCCAAUCAAACCUGGAGAUAGCUGGUUCUCCCCGAAAGCUAUUUAGGUAGCGCCUCGGACGAAUACUACUGGGGGUAGAGCACUGUUAAGGCUAGGGGGUCAUCCCGACUUACCAACCCUUUGCAAACUCCGAAUACCAGUAAGUACUAUCCGGGAGACACACGGCGGGUGCUAACGUCCGUCGUGGAGAGGGAAACAACCCAGACCGCCAGCUAAGGUCCCAAAUUACUACUAAGUGGGAAACGAUGUGGGAAGGCUCAGACAGCCAGGAUGUUGGCUUAGAAGCAGCCAUCAUUUAAAGAAAGCGUAAUAGCUCACUGGUCGAGUCGGCCUGCGCGGAAGAUGUAACGGGGCUAAGUAGUAAACCGAAGCUGCGGCAAUAUACUUUUGUAUAUUGGGUAGGGGAGCGUUCUGUAAGCGGUUGAAGGUGUGUGGUAACGCAUGCUGGACGUAUCAGAAGUGCGAAUGCUGACAUGAGUAACGAUAAAGGGGGUGAAAAACCUCCUCGCCGGAAGACCAAGGGUUCCUGUCCAACGUUAAUCGGGGCAGGGUAAGUCGACCCCUAAGGCGAGGCCGAAAGGCGUAGUCGAUGGGAAACGGGUUAAUAUUCCCGUACUUCUUACAAUUGCGAUGGGGGGACGGAGAAGGCUAGGUGGGCCUGGCGACGGUUGUCCAGGUUCAAGUGCGUAGGCUUAAGAGUUAGGUAAAUCCGGCUCUUUUUAAGGCUGAGACACGACGUCGAGCACCUACGGGUGUGAAGUCAUUGAUGCCAUGCUUCCAGGAAAAGCCUCUAAGCUUCAGAUUGUAAGGAAUCGUACCCCAAACCGACACAGGUGGUCGGGUAGAGAAUACCAAGGCGCUUGAGAGAACUCGGGUGAAGGAACUAGGCAAAAUGGUACCGUAACUUCGGGAGAAGGUACGCUCUUGAUGGUGAAGUCCCUUGCGGAUGGAGCUGACGAGAGUCGCAGAUACCAGGUGGCUGCAACUGUUUAUUAAAAACACAGCACUGUGCAAAAUCGUAAGAUGACGUAUACGGUGUGACGCCUGCCCGGUGCCGGAAGGUUAAUUGAUGGGGUUAGACUUCGGUCGAAGCUCUUGAUCGAAGCCCCGGUAAACGGCGGCCGUAACUAUAACGGUCCUAAGGUAGCGAAAUUCCUUGUCGGGUAAGUUCCGACCUGCACGAAUGGCGUAAUGAUGGCCACGCUGUCUCCACCCGAGACUCAGUGAAAUUGAAAUCGCUGUGAAGAUGCAGUGUACCCGCGGCUAGACGGAAAGACCCCGUGAACCUUUACUACAGCUUGGCACUGAACAUUGACCCUACAUGUGUAGGAUAGGUGGGAGGCUUUGAAGCACGUACGCCAGUAUGUGUGGAGCCGUCCUUGAAAUACCACCCUUGUAGUGUUGAUGUUCUAACGUCGACCCCUAAUCGGGGUUGCGGACAGUGCCUGGUGGGUAGUUUGACUGGGGCGGUCUCCUCCCAAAGAGUAACGGAGGAGCACGAAGGUGGGCUAAUCACGGUUGGACAUCGUGAGGUUAGUGCAAUGGCAUAAGCCCGCUUGACUGCGAGAAUGACAAUUCGAGCAGGUGCGAAAGCAGGUCAUAGUGAUCCGGUGGUUCUGAAUGGAAGGGCCAUCGCUCAACGGAUAAAAGGUACUCCGGGGAUAACAGGCUGAUACCGCCCAAGAGUUCAUAUCGACGGCGGUGUUUGGCACCUCGAUGUCGGCUCAUCACAUCCUGGGGCUGAAGUCGGUCCCAAGGGUAUGGCUGUUCGCCAUUUAAAGUGGUACGCGAGCUGGGUUUAGAACGUCGUGAGACAGUUCGGUCCCUAUCUGCCGUGGGCGUUGGAAGAUUGAAGGGGGCUGCUCCUAGUACGAGAGGACCGGAGUGGACGAACCUCUGGUGUUCGGGUUGUGUCGCCAGACGCAUUGCCCGGUAGCUAAGUUCGGAAUCGAUAACCGCUGAAAGCAUCUAAGCGGGAAGCGAGCCCUGAGAUGAGUCUUCCCUGAUACUUUAAGUAUCCUAAAGGGUUGUCGGAGACUACGACGUUGAUAGGUCAGGUGUGUAAGUGCUGUGAGGCAUUGAGCUAACUGAUACUAAUUGCCCGUGAGGCUUAACCAUACAACACCCAAGGGGUUU